rnacentral:rRNA from 1 species
UAGUCCACGCUGUAAACGAUGGAUACUAGGUGUGCGGGGACUGACCCCCUGCGUGCCGCAGUUAACACAGUAAGUAUCCCACCUGGGGAGUACGAUCGCAAGGUUGAAACUCAAAGGAAUUGACGGGGGCCCGCACAAGCGGUGGAUUAUGUGGUUUAAUUCGAAGCAACGCGAAGAACCUUACCAGGGCUUGACAUCCUACUAACGAAGUAGAGAUACAUCAGGUGCCCUUCGGGGAAAGUAGAGAC